rnacentral:misc_RNA from 1 species
GAUGAAGAACGUAGCGAAAUGCGAUAAGUAAUGUGAAUUGCAGAAUUCAGUGAAUCAUCGAAUCUUUGAACGCACAUUGCGCCCGUCAGUAUUCUGGCGGGCAUGCCUGUUCGAGCGUCAUUACGCCCCUCAAGUCCCCUGUGGACUUGGUGUUGGGGAUCGGCGAGGCUGGUUUUCCAGCACAGCCGUCCCUUAAAUUAAUUGGCGGUCUCGCCGUGGCCCUCCUCUACGCAGUAGUAAAACACUCGCAACAGGAGCCCGGCGCGGUCCACUGCCGUAAAACCCCCCAACUUUUUAUAGUUGACCUCGAAUCAGGUAGGACUACCCGCUGAACUUAAGCAUAUCAAUAAGCGGAGGA